ACACAGCAAUACACUUCCUUCCCCCAUCAAACACACGUACACACACAUCAACACACCUCUUUCCCACAUCCAACACACACGUACAGACACAGAAACACACCUCCUUCCCCGAUGCAACACACACGUACAUACACAGCAAUACACGUCCUUCCCCCAUGCAACACAAGCGUACACACAGCAACACACCUCCUUCCCCCAUCCAACACACACAGCAACACACUUCCUUCCCCAUCCAACACACACGUACACACACAGCAAUUCACCUUCUUCCCCAAUCCAACACACACGUACACACACAGCAAUACACUUUCUUCCCCCAUCCAACACCCACGUACACA